rnacentral:rRNA from 1 species
UACGAAGGGGGCUAGCGUUGUUCGGAAUUACUGGGCGUAAAGCGCGCGCAGGCGGUCCUUUAAGUCAGGGGUGAAAGCCCAGAGCUCAACUCUGGAACGGCCUUUGAAACUAGAGGACUUGGGUACGGGAGAGGUGAGUGGAAUUCCGAGUGUAGAGGUGAAAUUCGUAGAUAUUCGGAAGAACACCAGUGGCGAAGGCGGCUCACUGGCCCGUUACCGACGCUUAGGCGCGACAGCGUGGGGAGCAAACAGG